rnacentral:rRNA from 1 species
UGGGGAAUAUUGGACAAUGGGCGAAAGCCUGAUCCAGCCAUGCCGCGUGUGUGAAGAAGGCCUUUUGGUUGUAAAGCACUUUAAGCGAGGAGGAGGCUACUUAGAUUAAUACUCUAGGAUAGUGGACGUUACUCGCAGAAUAAGCACCGGCUAACUCUGUGCCAGCAGCCGCGGUAAUACAGAGGGUGCGAGCGUUAAUCGGAUUUACUGGGCGUAAAGCGUGCGUAGGCGGCUUUUUAAGUCGGAUGUGAAAUCCCUGAGCUUAACUUAGGAAUUGCAUUCGAUACUGGGAAGCUAGAGUAUGGGAGAGGAUGGUAGAAUUCCAGGUGUAGCGGUGAAAUGCGUAGAGAUCUGGAGGAAUACCGAUGGCGAAGGCAGCCAUCUGGCCUAAUACUGAUGCUGAGGUACGAAAGCAUGGGGAGCAAACAGG